rnacentral:rRNA from 1 species
UACGUAGGGUGCAAGCGUUGUCCGGAAUUAUUGGGCGUAAAGAGCUCGUAGGCGGUCUGUCGCGUCGGAUGUGAAAAUCCAGGGCUUAACCCUGGACCUGCAUUCGAUACGGGCAGACUAGAGUUCGGUAGGGGAGACUGGAAUUCCUGGUGUAGCGGUGAAAUGCGCAGAUAUCAGGAGGAACACCGGUGGCGAAGGCGGGUCUCUGGGCAACAACUGACGCUGAGGAGCGAAAGCGUGGGGAGCGAACAGG